rnacentral:tRNA from 5 species
GGGGCCGUAGCUCAGCUGGUAGAGCGCCUGCUUUGCAAGCAGGAUGUCAGCGGUUCGAUUCCGCUCGGCUCCACCA